rnacentral:rRNA from 1 species
GGUUAAGCGACUAAGCGUACACGGUGGAUGCCCUGGCAGUCAGAGGCGAUGAAGGGCGUGCUAAUCUGCGAUAAGCGCCGGUAAGGUGAUAUGAACCGUUAUAACCGGCGAUACCCGAAUGGGGAAACCCAGUGUGACUCGUCACACUAUCAUUAACUGAAUCCAUAGGUUAAUGAGGCGAACCGGGGGAACUGAAACAUCUAAGUACCCCGAGGAAAAGAAAUCAACCGAGAUUCCCCCAGUAGCGGCGAGCGAACGGGGAGGAGCCCAGAGCCUGAAUCAGCAUGUGUGUUAGUGGAAGCGUCUGGAAAGGCGCGCGAUACAGGGUGACAGCCCCGUACACAAAAGCGCAUGUGCUGUGAGCUCGAUGAGUAGGGCGGGACACGUGGUAUCCUGUCUGAAUAUGGGGGGACCAUCCUCCAAGGCUAAAUACUCCUGACUGACCGAUAGUGAACCAGUACCGUGAGGGAAAGGCGAAAAGAACCCCGGCGAGGGGAGUGAAAAAGAACCUGAAACCGUGUACGUACAAGCAGUGGGAGCACAGGUUUACCUGUG